rnacentral:rRNA from 1 species
GUUUAUCAAAAACAUGUCUUUUAGAAUUAAAUUUAAAGUCUAGUCUGCCCACUGAAUUAAUUUAAAUGGCCGCAGUAUUUUAACUGUGCAAAGGUAGCAUAAUCAUUAGUCUUUUAAUUGAAGGCUGGAAUGAAUGGCUGGAUGAGAUAUUUACUGUUUCAUAAAAAUUUUUAGUAGAAUUUUAUUUUUUAGUUAAAAAGCUAAAAUGUGAUUAAAAGACGAGAAGACCCUAUAAAUCUUUGUAUUUUAUUGGGGUGAUAUUAAAAUUUAAAAAACUUUUAAUUUAUAAUUAACAUUAAUUAAUGAGUUAAUGAUCCAUAUAUUAUGAUNAAAAAANUAAGUUACUUUAGGGAUAACAGCGUAAUUUUUUUAGAGAGUUCUUAUUGAUAAAAAAGAUUGCGACCUCGAUGU